GAUGAACGCUGGCGGUGUGCCUAAUACAUGCAAGUCGAGCGAACAGACGAGGAGCUUACUCCUCUGACGUUAGCGGCGGACGGGUGAGUAACACGUGGAUAACCUACCUAUAAGACUGGGAUAACUUCGGGAAACCGGAGCUAAUACCGGAUAACAUGUUGAACCGCAUGGUUCAACAGUGAAAGACGGUCUUGCUGUCACUUAUAGAUGGAUCCGCGUCGCAUUAGCUAGUUGGUAAGGUAACGGCUUACCAAGGCAACGAUGCGUAGCCGACCUGAGAGGGUGAUCGGCCACACUGGAACUGAGACACGGUCCAGACUCCUACGGGAGGCAGCAGUAGGGAAUCUUCCGCAAUGGGCGAAAGCCUGACGGAGCAACGCCGCGUGAGUGCAGAAGGUCUUCGGAUCGUAAAACUCUGUUAUUAGGGAAGAACAAAUGUGUAAGUAACUAUGCACGUCUUGACGGUACCUAAUCAGAAAGCCACGGCUAACUACGUG
rnacentral:rRNA from 1 species